GGGCGCAUAGCUCAGUUGGUAGAGCAGCUGACUCUUAAUCAGCGGGUCCAAGGUU
rnacentral:tRNA from 1 species